rnacentral:rRNA from 1 species
CGAUAACGUACCGUAAAGACCGGGAUAACCUUGGGAAACUGAGAGUAAUACCGGAUAGGGAACGGGGUGUGGAAUCCUCCCAUUCCAGAAAGAUCCGUCGCUUUACGAUCGGUCGGCGGCCCAUCAGGUAGUUGGUGAGGUAAUGGCUCACCAAGCCUAAGACGGGUAGGGGCCAUGAGAGUGGUUGCCCCGAGAAGGACACUGAGAUACUGGUCCUAGCCCUAAGGGGUGCAGCAGUCGCGAAACCUCCGCAAUGCGCGCAAGCGUGACGGGGGGAUUCUGAGUGCUUACGGUUUAACCGUAGGCUUUUCGUUAGGGCAAAUACCUAGCGGAAUAAGUGGUGGGCAAGACUGGUGCCAGCCGCCGCGGUAACCCCAGCGCCACAAGUGGGAACCACGUUUAUUGGGUCUAAAGCAUCCGUAGCCGGUUUGGCAAAUGCCCUGUGAAAUCGAUUCGCUCAACGGAUCGGCGUGCAGGGUAGACUACCAAACUAGGGACCAGGGGAGGGAAGCGGUAUUCCUGAGGGAGCGGUAAAAUGUGAUAAUCUCAGGAGGACCACCGAUGGCGAAGGCAGCUUCCUAAAAUGGAUCCGACGGUGAGGGAUGAAAGCUAGGGGAGCGAUCCGGAUUAGAUACCCGAGUAGUCCUAGCCGUAAACGCUGCAUGCCAGAUGUUGCGCAAUCUUCGAGAUUGUGCAGUGUCGAAACGAAGGUGUUAAGCAUGCCACCUGGGAAUUACGGUCGCAAGGCUGAAACUUAA